UAUGGUGUAACUCAAUGGUAGAGUGCUCACCCAGCAUGUAAAAGGCUCUGGGUUCAAUCCCCAGUACUGCAA
rnacentral:tRNA from 1 species